rnacentral:rRNA from 1 species
UGGGGAAUAUUGGACAAUGGGCGCAAGCCUGAUCCAGCCAUGCCGCGUGAGUGAUGAAGGCCCUAGGGUUGUAAAACUCUUUCGCCGGUGAAGAUAAUGACGGUAACCGGUAAAGAAGCCCCGGCUAACUCCGUGCCAGCAGCCGCGGUAAUACGGAGGGGGCUAGCGUUGUUCGGAAUUACUGGGCGUAAAGCGCGCGUAGGCGGACUGGUCAGUUGGGGGUGAAAUCCCGAGGCUUAACCUCGGAACUGCCUUCAAUACUGCCAGUCUUGAGUCCGGGAGAGGUGAGUGGAAUUCCUAGUGUAGAGGUGAAAUUCGUAGAUAUUAGGAAGAACACCAGUGGCGAAGGCGGCUCACUGGCCCGGUACUGACGCUGAGGUGCGAAAGCGUGGGGAGCAAACAGGAUUAGAUACCCCCGUAGUCC